rnacentral:rRNA from 1 species
AUACGUAGGGGGCGAGCGUUGUCCGGAAUGAUUGGGCGUAAAGGGCGCGUAGGCGGCCCGGUAAGUCUGGAGUGAAAGUCCGGCUUUUACGGUUGGAAUUGCUUUUAAUACUGGAGAACUUGAGUGCGGAAGAGGUAAGUGGAAUUCCCAGUGUAGCGGUGAAAUGCGUAGAGAUUGGGAGGAACACCAGUGGCGAAGGCGACUUACUGGGCCGUAACUGACGCUGAGGCGCGAAAGCGUGGGGAGCGAACAGGAUUAGAUACCCUGGUAGUCCACGCGGUAAACGAUGAAUGCUAGGUGUUGCGGGUAUCGACCCCUGCAGUGCCGGAGUAAACACAAUAAGCAUUCCGCCUGGGGAGUACGGCCGCAAGGUUGAAACUCAAAUGAAUUGGCGGGG